AAUUUAUUUAGCCAUUAUGCUGGCAUGCAACUGAGUUUGCUUCUAGGCAGAUUGCAUGGAGGUGAUUGAAACUAUGAACAAUGGAGGAAGAACAUAUAUCGGCAACUGUAAUAUUUGAUGAAUGUGCAAACUUGGCUAACGACCAUGUGAAGGCAACAUUUGUUUUUUGUUCUAGAGGCAAAUAAGAUACUCUCUCCGGUCCAAAUAAUUGCCGCAGGCUCGCAGCUCUAGGACAACUUGAUCGGUUGGAUCGCGAAGAUGUUCGACUACAUCAACCGCGUUACUUAACGCUUCCGCUUUCGGUCUACGAGGGUACAUGGACACACUCUCCCUCUCAUUGCUAUGCAUCUCCUAGAUAGAUCUUGCGUGAUCGUAGGAAUUUUUUUGAAAUUACCGUGUUUCCCAACAUGAUGGAUUAAGUAUCAUGUUGGAGGCGAGGGAGUAGUUUGCUAUGUGAGAGCGGGGACAUUUGUGUCCGUCCUGGUAGUUUUCCUUUUUUUUCUUUGCUUUAACCUAUGUAUAUAUGUUUUGUUUCCCCAUUAUUAAUGAAAAAGCAGAUCAUGUGCUAAUUCAUCAUAGGAAAAUUUAUGGAGUGGAAGGGAGUACGGUCUCCUUCCUAGCCCUAAUCUUGUUGUACUCUUGGACUGUAGACUAGUAUGAAAUGAAGUGGCUACGAUGUUUUCACAUGUCAUGAUAGUACAAAGUUGAGAAAGAAAAAAGCAAUGAAAGGAUUUAUUAUGUACGAUAUUUGUUAUCACUUUAGCUCAAUGCUCUCACUCACGGAUGGUUCUCAUCUUCAUAUGUUGUUGCUUACAAUUAUAUCGACAUAUCAAUUAGGAAAACAAUACUUUCCCAUGGUGUGGAACGAGCCCUCUAGCAAUGAAGAAAUAGCUCUCACAAACUGUGAGACUAGUGUGUUCCAUCAUGCCUCCCACACGGUGGCUCGUGAGAGAAACCCUAAACUAAACUCCAUCUUUGUUGUGUUAAGAAGUAUUUAAUGUUCAACUCAUCGAAACAAUAAUGAACAUCAGAUUUAAGAAAAUGGAAAUGAACAAAAACAAUAAAGGCCGAUUGUACUUCAAUCAAUGAAGCAAUAAAGCCGUAUAGUAGUUCCAAGAAAGGAUUGAAUGGGCAUUUGGUAUUUAUUACUUAAGCUAGACCUAUAGGGGGCGGGGACUUUGACCCUUGAGAUUCAUAAAACAGAGGAUUUGAAAGAAGAAGAAAUAGGGUCGUAAUGCUGUGACCUCUUGAAUCCUAUAGGAUUGGAAAACUACAUGAGCUUACAUCACAAAUUCAAUGAUUUAAAAGUACAGGGAUGGAAGGUUGCAUGCAAUAUUUUUCGAACGACUUUUGCCAAUGUUAGAGAAUGAUUUAGUGGAGCAGGUAUCAACAUAGGGAAAUUCUGGUGUGUUACCGGAAGGGUGGAACAACAAUGGUAAGGAUGAUUCCAAAGGUACAAUCGCCACAAAAGAUCUUGCGAUUAUGACUGAGUUUAUGCAAUGUCAUCUAUAAGAUUAUACCUAAAAUGUUGGUGUCAAGAAUCAAAAUGUUAUUGCCAAAGAUUAUUAGUCCAACACAACGUGCAUUUGUGUCGGGAUGCUAAUCACACACAAUGCAAGACCGGAAUAUGAAAGCUUUCACACAAUUAAAAACUAAAUAGAUCGAAAGAAUGAGCUAUGUGCCAUCAUCUUGGAUAUGCAUAAAGCUGAUGACCACACAAAUGGUUUCUUUUUUUAGAGAAAAUCAUGCCGAGACUAGGUUUUGUGCCUUAAUGGGUCAAGAUGAUAAUCUCAUGUGUUACCACAGUUGAGUACCAACUCAAGUUUAAUUCGCAAGAAAGGCAGACCAUCAAAUCUAGUAGGGAACUAUGACAAGAGACCCCUAAUCUCCCUACCGUUUUUAUUCUUUUUGCUGAAGGUUUAGCAAGUCCAUUCACUCAUGCUGGAGAUGCAAGAAAACACUAGCUAUUGUGCCAAGGUAUGCCGGGAGGCCCUCAAAUUUCGAAUUUACUAUAUGCAGAUGAUUCGCUAUCCUAAUGAAAGCACAUGUGCAAAAUGCAACAUCUCUAUGCACAUUCCUUGAUGACUAUUGCACUACAUUAGGUCAAAUGGGGCUGAAAGGUGUGACUAUUUCAAUAUGUAGUGGAGAGAGUUUGCAAAAGAAUCAAUGGGUGGAAAGAAAAGGUUGUAUUUAAGUGGAAAAGAGGUGCUUCUCAAUGUGGUGGCACAAGCUAUCCCUUCAUAUGUGAUGUUGGUCUUCAAAAUCCCUAUAAUAUAUGUAAGGGAAUUACUGGUUUGAUGUCACAUCGUUGUUGGGGUGACAAGGAAAAUCAAAAGAGAAUGCAUUGCUUUGCUUGGAUGAAGACGUGUGUACCAAAGAAGAAGGGUGCAAUGAAAUUUAGAGAUAUACACUACUUCAAUCUUGCGAUGUUAGGAAAAUGAAGCAUGUAGGUUGAUUUCAUAUCCUGACUCACUUUGUACCAGAGCGUUAAAAGCAAGCUAUUAUCCGAAUGAGGAUCUUUUGCAACUCAACUGAAGGGCUCAUCCUUCACUUGGCAAAGUACCAUUACCAUGGUGGGAGUUCAGACUUUCAAAAAGCGGUGCAUAUGUAGAGUAGAAGAUGCAUGGCUUAAAAACUAAAAUUGUGGAUACUUAUCGGGUUUUUUUUAAAGGAGGAUUUCCAAUGGCCUCUGCAUCAGAUGAUCCACAUAGACAUAAUUAGAAACCCAACGGUGGUACAAGAUGUGUGACAACUCGUAAAGAACAAUCGAUCAUUAACAUCACUCAUGUUAAUGAUUUGAGCAACGGAAAUCCAACUCGGUACCCAGACUCAUAUGCUCCCGCUCAGAAAAACAAAUCAACAUAAAUACUAAAAAAAUUCAAAAAAAAAAUCAAUUUUUUGGGUGGUAGAUAAUUUGAUGCGUGAGGUCCGCUAUAAAUUUCAACUCAUUUGGACAUUUUGGCAGCUCUCGGCAAAAAAGACAAAUCGAGUCAGAACAGUGCGUAAACAGUAAACAUUUCUAUAGACCCCGAUUUUGUCUUUUUUGCCGAGAGCUGCUCAGAUGUCUAAAUGAGUUGAAAUUUGGUGCAAACCUCACGCAUCAAAUUAUCUACCAUCCAAAAAAAAAUUGGAAUUUUUUGAAUUUUUUUUAGCAUUUGUUUUGAUUUUUUUUAGAGGGGGUGCUGAUGAGCCUGGGAGCAGAAACUCCGCGUCCAUUCUAGUAAACGGGUUGAGGAAUUGAUUCAAGAUCCUUUUUGGCCAAUUGCGGCAGACCACACAUUGAAACUCAAAUCAAUGAGAAUUCUGAAGAUUUUGUGGCAAGGCAAUACACAAAGUCUCUCUUGAUCAACAUAUUAUACCGAGUGGGAGCAUUAACAUGGGUGGAAGCUGAGUCGAACAUCUGGUCAUGGAGCAUUAAAUAUCACCCUCAAAUGUAGAAGCAAAUUUGGUUCAAACAUCGACAAGAACCGCAUUGGCCAUUGCCGCUCUAGCAGCAAAAUAUGAAAAAAAAAGAAUUAUGCUAACAAAUCAACAGAAAAUUUAGUCUUAGUUUGUCUAUGUUGAUGUGUCUAUAUGUUGGAUCCUUCUGAUCUACGCUUCUCUUCAUCGUCGGCGGUUGUAGUUCUGAUGCGCUGAUACUAUGAGGCCCUAGCAUGACAACUACGCUUCUCUUCAUCGUCGGCGGUUGUAGUUCUGAUGUUGUGAUACUAUGAGGCCCUAGCAGGAUAACUUCUCAACGUGUCUACUUCAACAAGUUUUCCCGGCUUCGAUGAGGAAGGGGCGAUGAUGGCGGUGCGCCUUUGACUCGUUUCAGUGAUUGUAGUCGUCGCUAGGUAGUCUAUGGCUCUAAAUGCAAUUUUAUUUAUUUCUGAUUUUCAUUGCACUACCAUGGUUGAUGAAUAGAUCGGAAGUUUCACGAAAAAAAAAAAUCAACAGUGAAGCACCAUGGUUGGAUGCCACCGCCUGCUGACACGGUGAAGGUCUCGUUGAUGCAUCCUUUGAUGCGGAUACCAUGUAGGGGGCGUGGGAAUGAUAACCAAAGACUCGAGAGGCAAUUUCACUGGCGUGUCGAGUAAAUUUCUUGAUCAGGUAUACGAUGUUGAUAUAGUAGAAACUUGUGCUUUUUUGCACUGAAUUUAUUUAGCCAUUAUGCUGGCAUGCAACUGAGUUUGCUUCUAGGCAGAUUGCAUGGAGGUGAUUGAAACUAUGAACAAUGGAGGAAGAACAUAUAUCAGCAACUGUAAUAUUUGAUGAUUGUGCAAACUUGGCUAACGACCAUGUGAAGCAGACAGGAGAAAUGCUAAACUGCUGGAACUACAUCUCCUGAUAUUCGUUGCUGACUUCUCGAGUUUGUCCAGAGAAAAGCCGUGGCGAUCUAGUAAUACUAA
rnacentral:lncRNA from 1 species